rnacentral:rRNA from 1 species
GAUGAACGCUAGCUACAGGCUUAACACAUGCAAGUCGAGGGGCAGCACAGUGUAGCAAUACAUGGGUGGCGACCGGCGCACGGGUGCGUAACGCGUAUCCAACCUUCCCGAUACUCAGGGAUAGCCUUCCGAAAGGGGGAUUAAUACCUGAUGGUGUUCAAAUUCCGCAUGUUAUUUGAACUAAAGAUUUAUCGGUAUCGGAUGGGGAUGCGUGACAUUAGAUAGUAGGCGGGGUAACGGCCCACCUAGUCUACGAUGUCUAGGGGUUCUGAGAGGAAGGUCCCCCACACUGGAACUGAGACACGGUCCAGACUCCUACGGGAGGCAGCAGUGAGGAAUAUUGGUCAAUGGUCGGAAGACUGAACCAGCCAAGUAGCGUGAAGGAUGAAGGUUCUAUGGAUUGUAAACUUCUUUUAUACGGGAAUAAAACCUCCCACGUGUGGGAGCUUGUAUGUACCGUAUGAAUAAGCAUCGGCUAACUCCGUGCCAGCCGCCGCCGUAAUAC